CGCGUAGGCGGUCAGGCAAGUUGGGUGUGGAAUCGUCCGGCUCAACCGGACGGGGUCGCCCAAAACUGCCCGACUGGAGCACGGUAGGGGAGAGUGGAACUCCUGGUGGAGCGGUGAUAUGCGUAGAUAUCAGGAGGAACGCCGGCGGCGAAGGCGACUCUCUGGGCCGUUGCUGACGCUGAGGUGCGAAAGCCAGGGGAGCGAACG
rnacentral:rRNA from 1 species